CCUACGGGAGGCUGCAGUAGGGAAUCUUCCACAAUGGGCGAAAGCCUGAUGGAGCAACGCCGCGUGGGUGAAGAAGGUCUUCGGAUCGUAAAACCCUGUUGUUAGAGAAGAAAGUGCGUGAGAGGAACUGUUCACGUUUCGACGGUAGCUAACCAGAAAGCUACGGCCAACUACGGGCCAGCAGCCGCGGUAAUACGUAGGUGGCAAGCGGUAUCCGGAUUUUUUGGGCGUAAAGGGAACGCAGGCGGUCUUUUAAGUCUGAUGUGAAAGCCUUCGGCUUAACGGGAGUAGUGCAUUGGAAACAGGGAGACUGGAGUGCAGAAGAGGAGAG
rnacentral:rRNA from 1 species